AUACGGAGGGAGCAAGCGUUGUUCGGAAUCACUGGGCGUAAAGCGAGUGUAGGUUGUCAGGUAAGUAGGAUGUGAAAGCCCGGGGCUCAACCCCGGAAUUGCAUUCUAAACUGCCUGGCUAGAGUCCCGGAGAGGGAGGUGGAAUUCCGAGUGUAGAGGUGAAAUUCGUAGAUAUUCGGAGGAACACCAGAGGCGAAGGCGACCUCCUGGACGGUGACUGACACUGAGACUCGAAAGCGUGGGGAGCAAACAGGAUUAGAAACCCCAGUAGUCC
rnacentral:rRNA from 1 species